CUGUAACAUGUCAGUUCCUCCACAGUAAAAAAAAAAAAAAACACUCUUUAUAGCCACCCUCUAAUAUUACUUAGGAUUAACACCACAAUAUGUGCCUCUGAAGCACAAAUACAUGAGAAAACUGUCAAAAUGGCAUGGCCAUGUACCCAACGAGUUCACUAAAAUGAAUAAGGUUCAUGUCUUUGUAAGCAUGGACACAAUGGUACCUCGGAGGUACAAAUCACGGUGUGAACGAGCCCUCACAGAAUAUCUCAUCUUCUCCUUCAGACACAACAUGAAUCUCUGAAUUGUUGAUUUCAGAAAAGAUUACAACCCGGGAAAGUUUCUCGAUCUACAUCUUUGUACUGAUUCCACGUGGAACCGGGACAAGAGUCAAACUGAGUCAGAGUUCAUAAACUGAGUGUGUCCCUUAGCCGGAUUGCCUGGUAACAGCUCUGUCUUCUGAUAAACUCCAGCUUGGUAUCCCAGGAGCAUUGGAAUCUCCUUCCCAUAGGCUCUGAAGACAACAACUAAAGAAUCUCCGCGAGCUCUGGGAAUUCUGGGAGAAAAUUCACAUCCAGAGAAAAUUUUGAAAUAAUAAAAUGCAGCAGAUAUUAAGGAUACGUCUGCCUCUUACAUAAAAUUUUAAAUCUUGAAAAAUUGUUUAACAAAGUAAGAACAA